rnacentral:lncRNA from 1 species
AGUGAUGAGCAUAGCAGUGAUCCUACCUCACAUACUACAGGGGUGCAGUGCACACGUAUGUGUCCCAUGCUGUGCCUAUGGACUAGAGCCCCACACCAUGGACUCAGUGAGCUCAGGGCCCUUCUGCAGACCAUCAUCAGGCCCGGUAACUUCUUAGGAUACAGGAAGACUGGAAACAAAUGGGCCAAAUCACUACACAGAAGGUGCAGAGCUGCUUGAGUUGCUGUUGGACACUGAGAGGAAGGAAGCUGAGAGCUGUGACUGCCUGCAGGGCUUUUUGGCUGACACAGUCCCUGGGUGGGGGAACUGGUUGUGAGGUGAGUAUCCCUCCUUAUCAGCAAGAUCAGAGAGGAGUAUCCAGAAAGAAUCAUGAACCCUUCCCCCAGGGUGUUACACUGGUUGAGUCCUAUGGUGACACCCUUUCAGUCCAACAGCUUAUUGAAAACAGAGAUGAGAUCUAUUGUACGGAUAAUGACAUGUGACUGGCUUAUCAUAUCUGCUUUGAAGCCUAAAGCUGACCAUACCUACUUAUAAGCCACCUAUUUGCCACCACAAACAAGUAGGGUAACCACUUGCCUGCAAAAAUGGUACCCUCUUCCUGCCAAUACUUCUUCAUGCCUGGCUUUGUCCCCUUGACCAAUUGGGAAGCCAGCAGUACCCCAUGUGGA